rnacentral:rRNA from 1 species
AUAGCGUAUAUUAAAGUUGUUGCAGUUAAAAAGCUCGUAGUUGAACCUUGGGUCUGGCUGGCCGGUCCGCCUCACCGCGUGCACUGGUCCGGCCGGAUCUUUCCUUCUGGCUAGCCGCAUGCCCUUUACUGGGUGUGUCGGGGAACCAGGACUUUUACUUUGAAAAAAUUAGAGUGUUCAAAGCAGGCAUAUGCUCGAAUACAUUAGCAUGGAAUAAUAGAAUAGGACGUGCGGUUAUAUUAUUAUUGGUUUCUAGGACCGCCGUAAUGAUUAAUAGGGAUAGUCGGGGGCAUCAGUAUUCAAUUGUCAGAGGUGAAAUUCUUGGAUUUAUUGAAGACUAACUACUG